GGUUGUCGUCAGCUCGUGCUGUGAGGUGUUGGGUUAAGUCCCGCAACGAGCGCAACCCUUAUUGUCUGUUACCAGCAUGUAAAGAUGGGGACUCAGGCAAGACUGCCGGUGAUAAGCUGGAGGAAGGUGAGGAUGACGUCAAAUCAUCAUGGCCCUUAUGUCCUGGGCUACACACGUGCUACAAUGGCCUGUACAAAGCGAAGCUAAGCAGUGAUGUGAAGCAAAACGCAGAAAUCAGGUCUCAGUCCAGAUUGAAGUCUGAAACCCGACUUCAUGAAGUUGGAAUCGCUAGUAAUCGUAUAUCAGAAUGAUACGGUGAAUACGUUCUCGGGCCUUGUACACACCGCCCGUCACACCACUCGAGUUGAGGAUACCCGAAGCUAUUGUUCUAACCCGUAAGGGAGGAAGAUAUCUAAGGUAUGUUUAGUGAGGA
rnacentral:rRNA from 1 species